UGGGGAAUAUUGGACAAUGGGCGCAAGCCUGAUCCAGCGAUGCCGCGUGUGUGAAGAAGGCCUGCGGGUUGUAAAGCACUUUUUGGCAGGGAUGAAAAGCACUGGAUUAAUAACCCAGUGUGUUGACCUAACCUGCAGAAGAAGCACCGGCUAACUCUGUGCCAGCAGCCGCGGUAAUACAGGGGGUGCGAGCGUUAAUCGGAAUUACUGGGCGUAAAGGGCGCGUAGGCGGUCGAGUAAGUCGGAUGUGAAAUCCCCGGGCUUAACCUGGGAAUUGCAUUCGAUACUGCUUGGCUAGAGUGUGGAAGAGGGAAGCGGAAUUUCCGGUGUAGCUGUGAAAUGCGUAGAUAUCGGAAGGAACACCAGUGGCGAAGGCGGCUUCCUGGUCCAACACUGACGCUGAGGCGCGAAAGCGUGGGGAGCAAACAGGAUUAGAUACCCCCGUAGUCCCUGAGCGGGCUGGCAAGGCGCAU
rnacentral:rRNA from 1 species